AGUGAACGCUGGCGGUAGGCCUAACACAUGCAAGUCGAACGGCAGCACAGUAAGAGCUUGCUCUUACGGGUGGCGAGUGGCGGACGGGUGAGGAAUACAUCGGAAUCUACUUUUUCGUGGGGGAUAACGUAGGGAAACUUACGCUAAUACCGCAUACGACCUACGGGUGAAAGCAGGGGAUCUUCGGACCUUGCGCGAUUGAAUGAGCCGAUGUCGGAUUAGCUAGUUGGCGGGGUAAAGGCCCACCAAGGCGACGAUCCGUAGCUGGUCUGAGAGGAUGAUCAGCCACACUGGAACGGAGAAACGGUCCAGACUCCUAGGGGAGGCAGAAGUGGGGAAUAUUGGACAAUGGGCGCAAGCCUGAUCCAGCCAUACCGCGUGGGUGAAGAAGGCCUUCGGGUGGUAAAGCCCUUUUGUUGGGAAAAAAAAGCAGCAGGUUAAAACCCCGCUGUUCUGACGGUACCCAAAGAAUAAGCACCGGCUAACUUCGU
rnacentral:rRNA from 1 species